UACAGAGGGUGCAAGCGUUAAUCGGAAUUACUGGGCGUAAAGCGCGCGUAGGCGGCUUUUCAAGUCGAUUGUGAAAUCCCCCGGGCUUAACCUGGGAACUGCAGUCGAGACUGUCUAGCUAGAGUAUGGGGAGAGGGAAGUGGAAUUUCAGGUGUAGCGGUGAAAUGCGUAGAUAUCUGAAGGAACAUCAGUGGCGAAAGCGACUUCCUGGACCAAUACUGACGCUCAUGUGCGAAAGCGUGGGGA
rnacentral:rRNA from 1 species